CCUAGUGUGUGCCUAUACUGCAGGAUAUACUACCUGCUUGAGCAGCUGCAACUGCCGCAGCAACUUGAGCUUGAACGAGAGCCUCUAGCUGGGCUUUUGUUUGGGUGACAGAUGUUGUUAAUGGUGGAGGUCUGCAAGUUCCGCAGCAACUUGAGCUUGAACGAGAGCCUCUAGCUGGGCUUGAGUCAUGUUAAUUCGUCCGGCCAUUGAUCUUCACAUCAAAGGCAACAUAAGUGAGAAAGGUUCGCGAAUAGUGCGAUGACAGAAGAGUGUAAGCACAUAGGUGUUCUCAAGCAAUAACAAGUAGUGAGCAAAGUAAUGUAAGCAUACUACGAGCAAAGU
rnacentral:lncRNA from 1 species